AGAAGAAAGCAUUCAGUAUCUGCAUUAGAAGUGGGCCUUUUGAAGCUGGCAACAUCACUCAAGGGGCUAUGCCUGUCUGCCCUCUUUAUGGAUGCACAAAGAUGAUUCCCCCUUUGAGGGGAUUUUUUUCAGAGGUUGCUACCUGGCAACAGUGUUGGGUGUUUAGUAGCAGACAAGCUUGCCUUUGCCCACUGUCAAUAAUCCGUUCUCUCUCCAG
rnacentral:lncRNA from 1 species